rnacentral:tRNA from 1 species
GGACGAUUAGCUCAGUUGGGAGAGCACCUGCCUUACAAGCAGGGGGUCGGCGGUUCGAGCCCGUCAUCGUCCA